AUUUCAAAGAGAAAUUUUGAGUCCAAAUUUCGAUGACCAACACAGCAUGGGAGAAGCAUGGCUCGCCUGAUCAGCUGCCUCUCAACUUAAUUCUAAGGAUUUCCCAAGACAUCAGCUGUGAUAUAAAUUAUGUUUCUGACUCUUUCACUGAUAUUUGCAACUGUGCCUCGUGAACGUUCAUCUUUGAGAGAUCAAUUGUGUUGCUCCUGCUCCCACUGUCCUGUGAAGGCAUAUUCCCC